rnacentral:rRNA from 1 species
GACGAACGCUGGCGGCGUGCUUAACACAUGCAAGUCGAACGAUGAAGCCCAGCUUGCUGGGCGGAUUAGUGGCGAACGGGUGAGUAAUACGUGAGUAACCUGCCUUUAACUCUGGGAUAAGCCUUGGAAACGGGGUCUAAUACCGGAUACGACCAACCCUCGCAUGGGGUGUUGGUGGAAAGGGAUUUUGUACUGGUUUUAGAUGGGCUCACGGCCUAUCAGCUUGUUGGUGAGGUAACGGCUCACCAAGGCGACGACGGGUAGCCGGCCUGAGAGGGUGACCGGCCACACUGGGACUGAGACACGGCCCAGACUCCUACGGGAGGCAGCAGUGGGGAAUAUUGCACAAUGGGCGCAAGCCUGAUGCAGCGACGCCGCGUGAGGGAUGACGGCCUUCGGGUUGUAAACCUCUUUCAGCAGGGGAGAAGCGAAAGUGACGGUACCUGCAGAAGAAGCGCCGGCUAACUACGUGCCAGCAGCCGCGGUAAUACGUAGGGCGCGAGCGUUGUCCGGAAUUAUUGGGCGUAAAGAGCUUGUAGGCGGUUUGUCGCGUCUGCUGUGAAAGCCCGGGGCUUAACCCCGGGUUUGCAGUGGGUACGGGCAGACUAGAGUGCAGUAGGGGAGACUGGAAUUCCUGGU